GGCGUGGAACCGCACAUCACCGCGGCUCGGAGGCCCCGGGCCCAGCGCUGUGGAGGAUCAGGGCGAUCUCCGCGCUCGGCGGCCUCCGGGAGCAGCGGCGGGGCCCGGGAGCGCUGCGGGCCCGGGGUCUCUCCCCCGGUCACGGAGUCUCUCCCCCGGUCACGGCCCGGUUCCCCACCCCGUGAGGUGUUGAGCAGGAAAUUCCCGCAGGGAUCGAUCGCUGCAGGGAUGAAACCAGCCCCAAACACCUGGAGGAUGAGCGGGGCACCAGGAGGGGACGAGGCCCUUUGGAAACUGCUCUUUCAGAACAAAGACACAGGGAUCACAACACCGGCUUUAAGGUCACACUUCCCAGUGGAAGACAGUCUAAAAUGCAAGUUUAUCAGAGGUGUGGGAUCCUCUGUCCAGAGAUCCACAGAGGCACGAGGAGGAAACAAAUCAAUCCUUCAUCUUCCUCGCUCGAGAAGGCACGAGAGGCAGCAGCAGCACCCAGAAUCAAACCAGCACCUCCACCAAGGCCAGCUUCAGAGCCUUCAUUCAGAGCACAGGGCACAGGAGAGAAGAGAGAAGGCCCUCGCUGCUCAAGUAACACUAAAAUGAGAUAAAAGUACCUGAAGUCUUGCAAGACUCUCAGCUCCUAAGGCUGGUUUGAGGUCAGGCUGCCCGUGAGAUACAGCUCUGCCAGGAAAGUUCCAGACUUUGGUAGCAGCAAUAGGUCAGAAUAAAAAUGUUAUUAACAGCG